rnacentral:rRNA from 1 species
GACGAACGCUGGCGGCGUGCUUAACACAUGCAAGUCGAGCGGUAAGGCCCUUCGGGGUACACGAGCGGCGAACGGGUGAGUAACACGUGAGCAAUCUGCCCUGCACAUCGGGAUAACCCCCGGAAACGGGAGCUAAUACCGGAUACGACCACUUCAGGCAUCUGAUGGUGGUGGAAAGUUCCGGCGGUGCAGGAGGAGCUCGCGGCCUAUCAGCUUGUUGGUGGGGUAACGGCCCACCAAGGCUUUGACGGGUAGCCGGCCUGAGAGGGGGGCCGGCCACACUGGGACUGAGACACGGCCCAGACUCCUACGGAAGGCAGCGGUGGGGAAUAUUGGACAAUGGGCGAAAGCCUGAUCCAGCAACGCCGCGUGAGGGAUGACGGCCUUCGGGUUGUAAACCUCUUUCAGCAGGGACGAAGCGCAAGUGACGGUACCUGCAGAAGAAGCACCGGCCAACUACGUGCCAGCAGCCGCCGUAACAC